rnacentral:rRNA from 1 species
GAUGAACGCUGGCGGCGUGCCUAAUACAUGCAAGUCGAGCGAACAGACGAGGAGCUUGCUCCUCUGACGUUAGCGGCGGACGGGUGAGUAACACGUGGAUAACCUACCUAUAAGACUGGGAUAACUUCGGGAAACCGGAGCUAAUACCGGAUAAUAUAUUGAACCGCAUGGUUCAAUAGUGAAAGACGGUUUUGCUGUCACUUAUAGAUGGAUCCGCGCCGCAUUAGCUAGUUGGUAAGGUAACGGCUUACCAAGGCAACGAUGCGUAGCCGACCUGAGAGGGUGGUCGGCCACCUUAGAAACUGUCCGGCGCUCGGACCCCUGAGGGGGGCCACAUUUGGAAAGUGUCCGGAAUGGUGGAAAAGUUUGAGGAUGAACCACCCGUAAGAGGUAAAAGUUCUUGGGUCGAGAAACUCCUUUAUUAGGAAAAAACAAAUUUGCUUUGGACUCUACAAAGUUUCGUCAGGCCUAAGCAGAAAGCGACGUAACACCACA